rnacentral:ncRNA from 1 species
AACAAUGUAGGUAAGGGAAGUCGGCAAAAUAGAUCUGUAACUUCAGGAAAAGGAUUGGCUCUAAGGGUUGGGUGCGUUUGGCCUUAGGGGGAUGCCCCCGGAGCAGGCAGGCACUAGCCGGGCAACCGGCCAGCACCUGCCAGCAUUGGGGCGCAGAUGCCCUUGGCAGGCCUUGGCUGUCCGGCGCACGCUUAACGACCAACUUAGAACUGAUACAGACAAGGGGAAUCUGACUGUCUAAUUAAAACAUAGCAUUGCGAUGGCCAGCAAGUGAUAUUGAUGAAAUGUGAUUUCUGCCCAGUGCUCUGAAUGUUAAAGUGAAGAAAUUCAAAUAAGCGCAGUAAACGGCGGGAGUAACUAUGACUCUUUUAAGGUAGCCAAAUGCCUUGUCAUCUAAUUAGUAAUGCGCAUGAAUAGAUUAACAAGAUUCCCACUGUCCCUAUCUAAUAU